rnacentral:rRNA from 1 species
GAUGGACGCUGACAGAAUGCUUAACACAUGCCAGUCUUUGGCGAAGCUGUGCUCGCACAGCCUAGCCAAGGCGGACGGGUGAGUAACGCGUAGGGAAUUGCCCUGCCAUUAGGGGUAAACAACGGGAAAGAACUGUAAAGACUGGGAAAGGUAAGCCGGACCAUUGUCAAGCCGGUUGAAAAGGAUGCUGGAGGAGGACCUUGCGUCCUUUUUGCUUGUUGGUGGGGGUACGGCCCACCAAGGCGAUGAUAGGUAGCCGGCCUGAGAGGGUGGACGGCCACAAGGGGACUGAGAUACGGCCCUUACUCCUACGGGAGGCAGCAGUGGGGAAUAUUGGACAAUGGGGGCAACCCUGAUCCAGCAAUUCUGUGUGCACGAUGAAGGUUUUCGGAGUGUAAAGUGCUUUCAGCAGGGAAGAAAAAAAUGACGGUACCUGCAGAAGAAGCGACGGCUAAAUACGUG